UGUGGGGGACUUCCACGUUCUCCGUGCCGCAGCUAACGCAUUAAGUACCCCGCCUGGGGAGUACGGCCGCAAGGCUAAAACUCAAAGGAAUUGACGGGGCCCCGCACAAGCGGCGGAGCAUGCGGAUUAAUUCGAUGCAACGCGAAGAACCUUACCUGGGUUUGACAUAUGCCGGAAACAUCUAGAGAUAGAUGCCCCUUUAUGGUCGGUUUACAGGUGGUGCAUGGCUGUCGUCAGCUCGUGUCGUGAGGUGUUGGGUUAAGUCCCGCAACGAGCGCAACCCUCGUCCUAUGUUGCCAGCGGAUAAUGCCGGGGACUCAUAGGAGACCGCCGGGGUCAACUCGGAGGAAGGUGGGGAUGACGUCAAGUCAUCAUGCCCCUUAUGUCCAGGGCUUCACGCAUGCUACAAUGGCCGGUACAAAGAGCUGCAAACCUGCAAGGGUAAGCGAAUCUCAAAAAGCCGGUCUCAGUUCGGAUUGGGGUCUGCAACUCGACCCCAUGAAGUCGGAGUCGCUAGUAAUCGCAGAUCAGCAACGCUGCGGUGAAUACGUUCCCGGGGCUUGUACACACCGCCCGUCAAGUCAUGAAAGUCGGUAACACCCGAAGCCGGUGGCCUAACCCUUGUGGAGGGAGCCGUC
rnacentral:rRNA from 1 species